UGAGCUAUUUUUAAUCUGUUCAGCACUUUAAAAUUAAAAUGUAUAAAAAUUUUAAUAAGAAUUAAAAAUAGAGAUUAAAUGUCAUUCGCACUUGCAGAUAGCUGGUUACCUCUAAAAUGUAUAUCAGUACACAUCUUUCCUUUAUAGAGAAAACUAACUCUGGGACCAGCUAGAGCUAGAAAAAGAUAUGUAUUAACCAUAAACAACACUAAAAUCACAUUAGGCUUAAAAAUAGCCAGAAAUAAAAUCCUGUUACAAGAUAAAUAAUUUUCAAAUGUAUAAUUUUAAACCCCCACAAUCUUUAAUUAAGAGGAGAUAAAGAGCAAUAAGCUAACUUUACACAAACUGCUAGCAUAAAUAUAAUUACUUCACCCCCAUAAACCUCAACCCAAUCACUAAAAAUUGAAAAAGGAACUCGGCAAAUACGAGCAACGACUGUUUAACAAAAACAUAGCCUUCCGCAACUAUGAAAGGUGAAAUCUGCCCAGUGACUUAAAUAAGUUAAACGGCCGCGAUUUUACGUGCUAAGGUAGCAUAAUCAUUUGUCUUUUCAUUGAAGACUAGUAUGAAGGGACUAACGAGGCUCACCUGUCUCUUUCCAUAAUAAAAAAUUGAUUUAAAAAUGAAAAAUGUUACAUUCUAAUGUAGGACGAAAAGACCCUAUAGAGUU
rnacentral:rRNA from 1 species